UACAGAGGUCUCAAGCGUUGUUCGGAUUCAUUGGGCGUAAAGGGUGCGUAGGCGGCGCGGUAAGUCGGGUGUGAAAUCUUGGAGCUUAACUCCGAAACUGCAUUCGAUACUGCCGUGCUUGAGGACUGGAGAGGAGACUGGAAUUUACGGUGUAGCGGUGAAAUGCGUAGAUAUCGCUUGGAACGCCGAAGGUGAAAACAGGCUGCUGGGGUUGCGCCGACGCGUGAGAACACGGAAAGCCAGGGGAGCAAACGGG
rnacentral:rRNA from 1 species